AGGAAAAGAAGAAAGAAAGAAAGAUGGAAGAGAGAGGAGUGGGGUGCAUAGGACUGGAGUGGAGUUUGGUGGUUGGGAACUCUUUCUUUCAUCUUUAUCUUUCUCCUCUUUUGGGUUUUUGAUUUCUAGUGUCUAGCGUAUGCUUCUUUUGUAGCAUUAGUGUCUUUUGGGUGGUUUUGCUUUUUCUUUUUUAUUUUGUCAUUUGAAGCCCAUUGAUAUGAUAUAAAAACAAAUUGCAAAGCAUAUUUCUUCUAAUUUUGCAUUUAGACCUUAAGCCAUUAUUUAUAACUUAUAUAAUCUUGAGUUUUUACCAAGCAAUCUAUUUAAACUAUUCUACUCAUAAUUUCUUCUUGAUAAUUAGUUCGUUUGAAUGUUGCAAAUAUUGGUAUGUUGUAUAUUUAGUUAAUAAAUUUGAGUCAUUUUGCUCUCUCUCUCUCUCUCUC
rnacentral:misc_RNA from 1 species